rnacentral:lncRNA from 1 species
AAGGGCGGACACUUUGGUGGCGCCUUUCCCUUUAUUUCUCGAGGUAAGGUGCUUUUGGAGGGCAGAGGGAGCGGCGACUUGGAGGGAAGGGGAGUUUGAACAGGAAGGGAAGGAGGUAACUCAGACAGCCUCCAUGUCUCGUGGACACGGGCAGAGCGUCGCGGCGCCUUUCUAGAAGGCAGGAGUCCGGUGCCCUUCCCUGAACGCAGGGACUCCAGAUACCGCCGUGGCGUACAGUACCUUACUUUGUAGACCUGGUUUUAUGGUGAUGGAGUGUGCCACCAGAUCUGGUGUCACUUUCGCGAAUUAGGAACCAAGCAUGCGAUGUAAGGGGCAUAAGGUACACCGAGGAGUGAAUCAGUCUGCAUCUUGGGACUGGCCGGCAGCGGAGCCUCGGAGACCGGCUCCCCAGCGCGGUAAACAGGUGCACGUUGGCUGCACCUCCACGGGCUCGGCCCCUGUCUCCGUUCCGGUUAGUGGGAUGAUGCUGGCAGUGACUCACUUUCCUCUCCCUCUCUGGAGGCUCUCUCCCGAAUGAAGAGCCAGUGAUAGGCUACUUCCUCUAGAGCCUGGUCCGGUGGGGCGGGAGAACAAAAGGCCACUGCUUGCGCAGGACCCUUGCGCCCUGGUCUCCCCUCCCCCGCACCUGGCCCCAAACGUUGCGGCAAAACGCUUAUAAACUGGUCCGCUCCACGCGAGGAGGAAAACGCGCGGAGAUCUCUUGUAGCCCGUCUUCAUCUCUCCCAACCCCCGCGACAGCCCGGCUCCGGGUGCGGGACUGCUCCGCACCCUCGCGAACAGCGCGCGGAUCCCGGUGCAUCGCCCGCCGCUGGGUUUCGGCCCAACUGUGCUCGCACUAGACUCGAGUGCAUAUGGCGGCAAAAGGAAUUUCGCGGUAAGCGCGUCACGCCGCGAACUGCCUUUCACAAGCUGCCUCGGGCCGAGGAAGGUGGCGCUUACUCCAGCCCUUUGUGUCUCGCUCUGCGGCGUGGACCCGGGUUCUCACCAGCCUGUUCCAUCGGUGGGAAGCACACUGGCUUGGGGAUCGCGUACUUGUCUCAGACGUUUAGACGGUGUCGUACGUGGAAGAGAGGAAAGGACCCACUGCUAGAAAACGGUACGCGUUUGCAAGAUUUAACACCUCCGCGGUUUUUUGUUUUUUGUAACUUAAAAAGAAUACAAUGGAGUGUGUGUGUGUGGGGGGGGGGCGGUAAUUGUAUGGUUUGCAAAACGCGGGUCUAGCAAGGCUGUAAUUUGUCACCUUGAUACAAGAAACAGUGCUGCAACUCGUGCUUUUUCUGACGUCAGAAGGACAACGGAAAUAAAACCUGAGCUGGCUGGCCUCAUUGUCAAAUAACUCACCCUAUAGGAAACUGGCAAGUCCCGCCACUGCACGGGUCUGGUAUGGCCGCCUAACCUCUGUCUUAAAAUGACUUAAAUGACUCUGCUGUUGGGUUACUUAGUUCUCAGUGAGUGGCUGAAAGCAACGGAAAUGCGGCCUAGUUUGAUUGCGGUUUUGAUCUUAAUAGGGAUUUUUUUUUUUUUUUUAAAGAACAGGUGUUGAAUAAUUAGGGAUGCUGUGUAGCAGGCAGCAACUAAUCAGAUCAAGUUCCGGCUCCUGUGUAAUGUCCAUUUCAACAGGAAACAGACUAUGGAUGAACGCAAACAGAAAUGCCAGGUGUUCAGGUUGGGAAGACAUGAGACAGAGUCAUGUGAACCUGGAGGAUCCUUGUGAUAGGCGACCCAUUAGGAGAGGUUGUGUGAGGGGUGGCGUGUCUUCCUUUCUUAAUGAGGAGAAAUAAUUGUCUAUGGGAGUAAUUAGGGGGAGAUUUUCAGAAGAAAUAGUGCUUACUGCACCCUGGGCUGCCUGUAAUCCAGCAGAUACGUUAAGUAGAUUGAAAGGUACUUUCCAGUCUUUAAAGUUUUUUGCUGCUUCUGAACAUUUUUUACCUUGUUUCAUGGACUGAGGGUUACACUGAGAAAGCAGCGGACUUAAGAGGCCUGGCAUCUGCUACCAUGUCCACUAUUUUUUUUUUUUUUUUUUUUUGGUCCUCUAAUGCCAGGGAUAUGGGAAUUGCUUAAUAAAUUCUUGCUGGAUUGUGACCUUGGCAAGGUAGCUCGCCCAACCCCUUUCUGAGGGGCAACUCUUUUCUCUGUUCCAUGAUUGGUCCUCUUCCCUCACGGUUGAAACACUGCAGUCUGUCUGCUCUGCUUUUCUCGCUUACCAUGGCCUCUCCUUUUGAGCAAUGGUAGGGCAUUGAAAAUGUCCCUUGUUUGUCCUUUUGUCUGCGUCCCCAAAUGUGCAAACCCAUCAGGUGGAUUGUUGAGAAUCAGGAGCUAUGGGCUGGGAAGUCCCUUGAAGUGUCUACGGAUGUGGGAGGCAGAUGCAAGCGUGCCAGGGAGUCAGCUUAGGUGGUGUCAUAGCCGCUCAGUCUUUCUCUUCUAGGCUAAACGCGGCUCCUGUAGCUCAGCCUGGGCACUUCCACAAGUUUAACAUUGUAUCCUGAUUUUAAAACAGUCCAUGUUUUGUAAGGUCCUCACUCCGCACUGAGUUCCCACUUGCUUAGAAAUAGCCCGGAUUCUUUUCUCAUUUAUGGCGAAUCCUCACCUCUUUCUCUCUCUCCCAAGUGACAUUGUCUUUCUCCCAGGACACACUGCAAAUUCCCCUUGGUCCCAGGUAUUUUUCUGCCCCAGUGGCUAUGUGGCUUCCAGAGUAGAAUGCCUACUGAAAUCUUGUAUUUUGUGACAACCUGGUCAGGGUGCUAUUUUUCUGGUUCUUACAAGUGCUUAGUGACCACCUUCCUUUUUAUACAGUUUUUUUCCCCCACUCUGGGUGCCACACCAGGUGGUGGAGCAGAGAUGGUAAGGCCUCGCCGUUAGCUCAGAUCUGCAUACCAGGCUGCGACUUAAUGGCCUUGGGAACUUGCAGCAAAUUGUUGAAUGUCUCUGAGCUUCAGAAUUUCAUUUAUCAAAUGAGAACAACACCCAUGGUGGUUAUUAAGUUAUUCCAGAGAUUUCAUUAAGAUGGCGGUUGAUGUAAGGUAUUCACUCUCAUCUGUACAAUUUGAUGGCUUGGUUACUGGUUUUCUGCCAAUCAUGGGUUUCCAGCUACUCCUAAAUGGCAGAGGAGUUUAGAUUCAUAGAAGCCCGUGUGGCAAUGGGGAGUGGGGUUGGAGAGACUCACUUCCAGAGAGGUUGCCUAAAACCGUGGGCAACUCAGGGGACAGGUUGAGGCCUCACUGUCUCCAUCCACAGUUGUGCAAUGAGAACCAUCUGGGAGACUCUUUGAACAAGUCAGGGCUAUUUGGGACAUUGCCAUCCAAGAUCACUGCCAAGGACAGGCUUGGAAAAGGGUUGUUUGUUUGUUUGUUUGUUUGUUUGAAGUGUUUCUCAGCCUGGCUCCACAGCAGACUCAACCUGUGCCUUUGGAAAUCUACUAAUUUACAGAUUCCAUCUCCAAAGAUUCAGGCAGAGCAGACAAGAGAAUGAAAAG